UGCAUCAUGGUCUGGGUUGGCCUGUCUGGUUGGGAAUCACAGUGGCAUCUGUAGGAUUAUUCAUCGUCAUCAUCAUCAUCGUGUUCAUAAUGAGAAAACGAAGAAGUGCAAAAGCUGCAGUCAUCACAGUAAAACAGGAUGAUCUGUACUCUAACGUAAAUGAGAGGGAUGCUCACGUGUCUGAAUCAGCCGUUUGUGAUGAUGCUCCAUAUGCCAGCGUUUCAUACAGUAAACCCAGAAGAGACAGAAAUGAAGACCUUGAGGAGAUCCAGUACGUGACUGUCCAACAUCACAAAACCAAACCGACGCAGAGAGCAGAGGAGAAUGAAAACCAGUACGACAAUCUCAGGAUUCACCAGCCUGCUGCUGGCGUGAGGCGAUCAGAUGUGGAGACUGUGGAAGAGGACUCUGUGAUCUACAGCAGCGUCAAAUGAAUGACAGACCAUCAUGAAGCCUGUUUAUACAUCAAUCUGGUCUGCUGGGAAAAGCAAAAGCCACAAAUAUUUGCUGAAUAUGUACAAAUAUUAAUUAAUGCCCUUGAAAGUUUGGCUGUUUAAUUUAGCAUGCAGUUGAACUAAAUUUAUGGCAUAUUAUUCAUUAAAUCAGGUGAACAGAUGAGCAGGAAACAAAAAAGCCAAAACUAAAAAAAGAUGUUGUGAUGUGUCGUGGUAAUGUGUUUGUUAAAAAUUAAAUGAUUCAAACUUUUUAUUUCAAACGUUUCUGUGACCAAAUAAAUGAACGUAUCAGUUUAAUCAAGUUCUAGCUCCAUUUGUUCAUGAUUUCAGUUCUUUAAAUCUUUAUUUACUUCUAUUGUAGCCCAGGCAGUCAACUCCAGCUCACUGCAGAGCUAAACUGAAAGAAAUAUACCUAAUAUUUUUGUUUGUAAUCAUUACCCUGUGAGCUGCACUAAACGGUGUAAGACGCAAAAAAUAAAUAAAUAAAUAAUGAUAAAAAAAAAAUAAUAACAUUAAUAAACGGUCUACAAAAUGACUAAAUGUAAAUGUAAUAUUAAUAAUAACGUACCAUAUGUGAUUGCCGGGUUACUAUUAAUAUCCUGUUUUUAUGGGGUCUAUCACAACAAAAUCUGCAAACAUCAAUGAUUAUUUGUAGUGAAACUAUGUGUGUUUAAAGAAAAGUUCAAAAAUCAGUUUGACUAAAACAACAGUUUAAGCUAUAGAGCCCCUAAAGUGACAUAAAUAUGAAAAAUUAUAUUUCAGUGUUUUUGAUUUCGCUAAUAAUAUUUUUAAUUCCCUGAGAAACUUUUGUGAGCAAGUUUAAUUUCCUGUCCCACCACGUCUACUGCCCACCACCUCCUGUCAGUACUUUUUCUGCCAGUAAACUGAAGGCAAAAAAAGGAAAUCUUUCAAUGACAUUUAAAAAUAACUUGUCUGUCUGUGGUCAAAAUAACGACAUUCAGUCUUAUGCAAUAUAUGUUUCAAAACUGUUCAGAAAAUAUUUCCAGGAAGAAAAGGUGGCCAGUUUAAAUUUUUUAAAGCAAACAGUGUUAAGCAUGUGAAAUCAGUUUAACAUCUGCUGGAGAUCAGACUCACCAGAAAAUGGUAAGAGUUAAUGUAUGAAUAUUAAUAUGUGAAUAUAGAUUAAUAUAGAUUAAAACUGUUGUAGAAACCACUGGUUUAAUAAAAAAAUAUUCUCACUGAAAAGUGAUUUAUGGAGACGUUUUUGAAGCUAAAGUUUGUAUUCAAAAUGAUGAUUGUGCAUUUUAUUGUUUUUGUAGUGAUGUCAGUCAGAAUGGCUCCUCCUCUUCCUCUGGUGUUUCUGCUCGUUCAUGGUGAGUCACUGGAUAACGAUUAACAAACAUUACAUAGUCGCUUAAUAAACCUGUUAAAUAAAUAUAUUACUUGUGAAUU
rnacentral:lncRNA from 1 species